GUGAGAUUAUUCGCUAAACCUCCGUUGUGGUCGGCGGCCACAAAACCCUGAAAGCGCUGCUAGGCUUCGCCCCUUCUUCUUCUUCGUUGCCAUUAGGGAACGCAGCUGAAGAAGAGCCUAUAACUUUUCUCUCAGUUCUUCUUCCUCUUGCACUCUCUGCGCCUCUUAAGCUUCGGGACUUCUCGGAGAGUGACUGCAAAAUAUGGGAAUAUUUGAACCUUACAGAGCAAUUGGUUACAUUACCAACAGCGUCCCCUUCUCUGUGCAGAGACUCGGAACCGAAACCUUCGUCACCGUUAGCGUUGGCAAAGCUUUUCAAGUUUAUAAUUGCGCGAAGUUAAACUUGGUGCUCGUUGGCCCUCAAUUGCCGAAGAAGAUUCGAGCUCUUGCUUCCUACCGUGAGUACACGUUUGCUGCUUAUGGGUCUGACAUUGCAGUUUUCAAGCGUGCUCAUCAGGUAGCAAAUUGGAGUAGCCAUAAUGCCAAGGUCAACUUGUUGCUAUUGUUUGGAGAUCACAUCCUAAGUGUUGACAUUAAUGGAAAUAUGUUCAUGUGGCAUUUCAAACGGAAUGAAGAUAGUCCUUCUCCAGUUGGACAAGUCACACUAGAAGGACAAUUUAGUCCUAGCUGUAUAAUGCAUCCAGACACAUAUCUAAACAAAGUUAUGCUUGGAAGUCUGGAGGGUUCUUUGGAGCUUUGGAACAUCAGCUCAAAGAAAAAACUCUACGAGUUCAAGGGAUGGAAUUCAUCCGUAUGCUGUUGUGUUUCGUCUCCUGCUCUAGAUGUUGUUGCCAUUGGCUGUGCUGAUGGAAAGGUUCAUGUUCAUAACAUUCGUUAUGAUCAAGAAUUAUUUUCGUUCACACACUCAACACGAGGAUCUGUUACUGCCUUAUCUUUCAGCUCAGAUGGACAGCCUCUUCUAGCAUCUGGAGGUUCAUCAGGUGUUAUUAGCAUAUGGAAUCUUGAGAAGAGAAGACUUCAAUCGGUCAUUAGAGAAGCUCAUGAUAGCUCAAUAGUUUCACUUCACUUUUUUGCUAAUGAGCCAGUCCUGAUGAGUUCAUCAACAGAUAAUUCCAUCAAAAUGUGGAUUUUUGAUACAACAGAUGGAGAUCCUCGUUUGUUACGCUUUCGCAGUGGACAUAGUGCCCCUCCUCUAUGCAUAAGGUUUUAUGCAAAUGGGAGACACAUUUUAUCUGCUGGUCAGGAUCGUGCCUUCAGGCUUUUCUCUGUAAUCCAGGAUCAGCAAAGUAGGGAGCUUUCUCAACGGCAUGUGGCUAAACGUGCGAAGAAACUAAAACUUAAGGAAGAAGAAAUAAAGUUGAAGCCCGUCAUAGGUUUUGAUUGUGCUGAAAUUAGAGAGCGUGAUUGGUGCAAUGUGGUUACAUGUCAUGUUGAUACUCCACAAGCAUACGUAUGGAGACUUCAAAACUUUGUUCUCGGCGAGCAUAUCUUGAAACCAUGCCCAGAAAACCCGACGCCAAUUAAGGCUUGUGCAAUCAGUGCAUGUGGAAAUUUUGCUUUCUUAGGGACAGAAGGUGGUUGGAUUGAGCGAUUCAAUCUUCAAUCGGGUGCUAGUAGAGGUAGUUACUUGGAUAAAAAGGAAGGAAGAAACGCUGCACAUAUUGGAGAAGUUGUCGGUCUUGCUUGUGAUUCUACAAAUACCCACGUUAUAAGUGCAGGAGUUGGUGGAGAUAUAAAGGUUUGGAAUUUCAAGGAGCGUGAUCUAAAAUCCAGAUGGGAAAUUGGUAGUUCUGUUGUGAAGAUUGUCUAUCAUCGAGUAAAUGGACUUUUGGCAGUGGUAACUGAUGAUUUGGUUAUCCGUCUGUUUGACAUUGUGGCUUCAAGAAUGGUUCGUAAAUUUGAAGGUCAUACAGAUCGUAUAACAGAUUUGUCUUUCAGUGAGGAUGGAAAAUGGCUUUUAACAUCUAGUAUGGAUGGAAGUCUUAGAAUUUGGGACGUCAUUUUAGCAAGGCAAAUCGAUGCACUACAAGUUGAUGCUUCCAUUACUGCAUUUUCUAUUUCUCCAAAUAUGGAUAUCUUGGCGACUACACAUGUAGAUCAAAAUGGAGUCUACCUCUGGGUGAAUCAAUUAAUGUUCUCUGGUUCAUCAAACGUGGAUACCCUUGCAAGUGGAAAGGAUAUUGUUAAUGUUAAAUUGCCAUCAGUCUCCUCCACAGAAGGAAUGGAGUUCGAAGAUCGCAACGAGAAUCCUUCAAAACCUCCUGAAUCUAAAGAUUUAUCAGGCUUUCACAUCUCUAGCCAGCAAAUCCCAGAUUUAAUUACACUUUCACUGUUGCCCAGAAGUCAGUGGCAGAGCUUGGUCAAUUUGGACAUAAUAAAGGCCCGUAAUAAACCAAUCGAACCUCCAAAGAAACCCGAAAAGGCUCCUUUCUUCCUGCCAUCUCUUCCUUCUCUCUCUGGAGAAAUACUAUUUAAGCCUUCUGAGUCAGCAAACACAGAGAGAGCAGAAAAGGGAGUUGAUAAUGAAGAACACAAAAAAUCGGAUAUAACAUCGUCUCAAUUCUUGCAGAUUCUUGAAUCUUCUUCUGAAGUACAGAACUUCUCAGCCUUUACUGAUUACAUAAAGGGUUUAUCUCCAUCAACAUUGGAUUUGGAACUUCGCAUGCUUCAAAUUAUAGAUGACGAUGAGCGUCAAGAACCCGAAAAGAGACCUGAACUUAUUUCAAUUGAAUUGCUUCUUGAUUAUUUCAUACACGAAAUUACUUGCCGCAACAAUUUCGAGUUCAUCCAAGCCUCUAUCAGAUUGUUCCUGAAGAUACACGGCGAGACGAUUCGUUGCCAGUUGACAUUGCAGGAAAAGGCAAGGAAACUCCUGGAUAUUCAGAGCUCAGUAUGGCAAGGUUUGGAUAAAAUAUUCCAAUCCUCUAGAUGUAUGGUUACUUUUCUUAGCAACUCACAGUUUUAGGUGUUGUGACUUGGUUGGUUCAUCGUAGAAUCAUGAAAGAUCAUAUUAUUUAUUGCUGUUGUAGAUUAGUUUUUUUUGGGGGGAGUUCAUCAUAGUGGCUUAAAUCAGAGAGAGGGAUGUUUGUUUUGGCUUAAUAUUUACUUCCAACUUAGAUGAUGAGUUAAUUAGUGGUUAAGUAGUAGGUGUAAAUUGUAUAACAUGAUCCAAUUUUGUCCAACAUUGCUGGGUAUCAUUAUAAUUUUUCCUUUGAGAAUACAAACUUUGCAGCCAAGCGGCAUUUCUC